UGCAACCAUUUAUUGAAGAAGGCUAUUAUUUCUUGGCCCCUAACCAGCGUGCACUGUUGGUCCUAGUGGGUCAAAUCUCACUCUAUGUACAGAAGUGUUUUGCGCAGCUUCAAGUAAGUCAGAGAAAAAUCUGUGCCGGCGCAGUGCUAGUUCAUCUCUAGCUACUGGGGUAGCUGGGGGCUCUUGCAUUCCUCCGCAUCCUUCAGAUAUGUUAUCAGUCUCUUCUUGUGAUAGCCAUCUUGUUAAAGGUGCAACUCCUUUUGUUUGUAAAAUGUGUUUAUUUAUGUUCUUGCUGUAUUAUGAAGCAGUUGACUAACGUCAAAGACUCAACAUUUUUAACAGACCAUAAAUACAGAAUCGCCAAGGUCUUUGUUUCUUCACUUUCUAAAAGCUUGUAUCAUCAAAACCAACUGCAUCUAGCUGCUUUGACGAAGAAUAGGAUUGCAUUACACUCAUCUCUUAGUAUUUGGUUACCAGUUUAGUGCCUAUAAUUUUUAAUGUAUUAUAAAUUCAGUAGUCAGAAACUUUAUCCAAACUCUGAGUAAUAUUACUUAUUAAUCUUACAAUGUCUGUCAAAACGUCACAAAUUUUUCUUCAAGCUACCUAUUUACCAUCUGCAUUAGUCAGAAGGAUAAAAC
rnacentral:misc_RNA from 1 species